UGCGAAAAUGAAAGUUUUAAUUCUGUUUGUCUCAUUUUAUGUGUGUUUUUUCGAUUAUAUUUGUUGUAACGAGGGUAAUGCUGUAAAUUUAAACCAAACCACUAUAAAAAUAUCUGCAUUGCCGGUUCCUAUGUAUGUUAUAGUAAAUGAAGAAAACGAUAAAGUUAUUGGUGGUGUCGAUUUUAAUUUUUUUAAGUUGGUG